GACGGAUAGCUUAGUUGGUAAAGCAGGAGACUUAAUCUCAGGGUUGUGGGUUUGAGCCCCACGUUGGGCA